CAUUGGCUUUGGGCUCUAGCUUGUUUUCAGGAUAGAAGGGGUACUCCAGUCUAGUCUGAAUAGUCUUGCCUUCUUAUCCUGUUGAUUUUUUUUUUACAGAUCAUAUACAUCCACUUAAGAUCACUGUUCAGUUAAGCUGGGGAACUAAACUGGAAGAGGAUGGAUGCUGUAACGGGGUAUGAAGUUGACGAACAUGGGAUCACUCCUGUGAAUCACAGUCAUUGUCUUGAGUGGGCUGACAUUUUAGAAGAUGACGGAGAAGAUAAAGAGGAUAUGCAUAGUAAGUCAUGUUUUCAGGGCAAUGAAAAUGGAACAUACAUGAAGCUACAAAAUGAACUAUCUGCCCUGACUUCUCACUUUCGGCGGGAGAUUCUUGAACAGUACAAAUUGACAUUUAGGCACAAUAUAAGUUUCCAGUUUUCAACGUGA
rnacentral:lncRNA from 1 species